UUCGCUAAAAGCACUUCUACCAACGCUUGGCUUACCAAAUUUACGCCAAUUGAUAAAAUUUUGCGAUUUAAAUUCAUUUUCAAUAAUGUAAAUAACGAUUCGUGUUGAAUCCAAAAUCGCCUCGUCUGAAUAGGGAUGGCAACUUUUUCACUUUCAACUUCUCAUUCAACUACGUAUUAAACUUUUGUUGCCUGUAAAAUCGCCUCGUGCGAAUGCCCUAUUUGAGAAAAGCGAUUUCGCGUAAUGAAACUCGUCUACAUAAAUAUAUAUAAACAACAAAAUUUUAAUAUGAUCCUCAACCUCCUUAGGCGUGCUGUCAUAGUAAAACACCUUGCUAGGUGUUGUGGCACGAUGUGGGGAACACAGAGGCGUCAACGCAUCUGGCAAUAUGCCACAGUUCUCCUCGUCCGCGCAGUAAGACCUUCGGCUUCUGAAAUGUACUUUUUUAUAACUAGGAGAACUUCAACUAUAUAAACUUGUAAUGCAUUUGGAAGUGGACUGCUCCAGUAGAUCGCUUACAAUGGUUUUGUACACUUGCUGCUGGGCUUCCUUGUCAGGAUCUGGUAUUUCCGCAGCAGGCUUGAAAAUUUUCGGCACAACGCCCCGUUUAGGUUACGCUUUUUAGCGUAGCCUAACACAAUUUAAAACAUUUCUUUUAAUAAAAUGCAGUAUUAAUGAAAAGUGAAAAAUAUAA